rnacentral:rRNA from 1 species
UACGGGGGGGGCAAGCGUUGUUCGGAAUUACUGGGCGUAAAGGGCUCGUAGGCGGCCAACUAAGUCAGACGUGAAAUCCCUCGGCUUAAACCGGGGAACUGCGUCUGAUACUGGAUGGCGUAGAGGUUGGGAGAGGGAUGCGGAAUUCCAGGUGUAGCGGUGAAAAUGCGUAGAUAUCUGGAGGAACACCGGUGGCGAAGGCGGCAUCCUGGACCAGUGUGUACGCUGAG